GAGUAUCGAAAGUGUGUGAAGUGGGUGGAGUGAGUUUAAAUAGAUUUUUUUCAAUCAUGACAAACAUAAAGAAAGCAACAAAGAUUCUGACAUGGGGGUAAAGCAUGAAGGAUUUUACCUAAUCCCAAGGUUCAUUCACCUAAUAUGUCACAUUAUCUGAUCAGAAACGGUUCAAUUUUCUAAGACAACUAUCUUAACUGUUCCAUUUAUCGAGAAUGAUUGACAAUUAUUUAAAG
rnacentral:lncRNA from 1 species